AAGGGGGGCCCUUGUCGGGCGUGGCCCCACCCACCGUAACACAAAUAUUUGCAUUCGAAAUAUGUUGUGACAACGCGCGGGAGAAUAAGAAGACGAAGAAGUUGCGAAAAACGCAACGCGAUAUCGGAUCGCAAAUUUGGAAAGCGAUGAUGAGGGAUGAUGAUGACGCUAAUUAAAUUAGUGUCGCCUGGCCUAUGAUCUGGUUGAAUGUAGAGAAGUUUCACUCUUUCUUGCUGCUGUGUUUGUUGUUUUUGAUUCAU
ensembl:ncRNA C47G2.19 ncRNA